AGUUUCUCAUUUGCAUAUCACACAUACUUAUCAGUUUCUGACAUAAGUGAAGUGAGGAUAGAAGGACUGGAAACACUUGACUAUCUAGACAACCUUUGCCAAAGAGAGAGAUUUACAGAACAAGGAGAUGCCAUAACUUUUGAAUCCGAGGUGGAUCGAGUUUAUCUUAGUUCUCCUAAUGUAAUUGCAGUACUUGAUCAUGAAAGAAAAAGGACAUUUGUGAUACGAAAGGAAGGUCUGCCCGAUGUUGUGGUAUGGAAUCCAU
rnacentral:misc_RNA from 1 species